ncrna:unclassified sequences RAGATH-18 RNA
CCUGUGGAGAAUCACAGCAAACGUUAGUAGCUUUAAGCAAAAACGGAUUCGAUGAAGCAGGAA